UCCCAUUGAUUUUUUUUUGAA
rnacentral:piRNA from 1 species